rnacentral:rRNA from 1 species
UACGUAGGUGACCAGCGUUGUCCGGAUUUACUGGGCGUAAAGAGCUUGUAGGUGGUUUGUCGCGUUGUUCGUGAAAUCUCACGGCUUAACUGUGAGCGUGCGGGCGAUACGGGCAGACUAGAGUACUGCAGGGGAGACUGGAAUUCCUGGUGUAGCGGUGGAAUGCGCAGAUAUCAGGAGGAACACCGGUGGCGAAGGCGGGUCUCUGGGCAGUAACUGACGCUGAGAAGCGAAAGCGUGGGGAGCGAACAGG